UUGGCUUAUUUCAAGAUAUGAAGAAGGAAGAAUUAUAACUCGUGGACUGCCAGGAGAAGCAAGGAAGAGAUUGAUGAAGAAUGGAGUAUAUCGUGAUCUUGAAUUUCAGUGCUUGUAUUUGAGUCUGGGUCUGCUAGAACUUCUGCUCUAUGAUGUACUAUUGAAGUCAAGAUUCACAUGUGGAAACUGAUGAUAACAUGGCAUUUUUAAGGAGAAUGUAUAAAUUAGGUUCAUAAAAGAAAAUUUAUGUUAUAACAGAAAACUUAAAAGAUAAUGUUAUUUCUGAAUGUUAUUGGAAUUAUUCUUAAUGGAUGAAAGAUAUAAAAUGUUGUAAAAAUAACAUUUCUAAUAAUAUGUUGCAAUGAAAAGUUUUAUACUAUUUUGAACUGCUUCAAAACAAAUCUUCAGGUAGAUGUUCUAUGCAAAAAUGAUAUUACUUGUUCUGUCAAAAUGCCCAUU